rnacentral:rRNA from 1 species
UACGUAGGGUGCAAGCGUUGUCCGGAAUUAUUGGGCGUAAAGAGCUCGUAGGCGGCUUGUCACGUCGGUUGUGAAAGCCCGGGGCUUAACCCCGGGUCUGCAUUCGAUACGGGCUAGCUAGAGUGUGGUAGGGGAGAUCGGAAUUCCUGGUGUAGCGGUGAAAUGCGCAGAUAUCAGGAGGAACACCGGUGGCGAAGGCGGAUCUCUGGGCCAUUACUGACGCUGAGGAGCGAAAGCGUGGGGAGCGAACAGG